UGUCACCGAGCUGCCCUCGUGUCCUGUCCGUGGCUGUGUCGGGAAAGCUGCAGCAGCCAGGAUGGGCCUUCCCAGGCUCCCGGAGCUGCAUUCGAGUGCCAGCCUCCAGCUGGCAUCUCCAGGCUGCCCGGAGAAAGGCUCUCCCUGCUGGGUACGCAGCCAUGCAGCAGGGCUGCAGCGCAGCCACCAACGCAGCCAGCCCGCAGUGCCACACGCCUCGAGCUGCUGGUGCCCGGGGGACAUGGCUGGCACAGGGUGCCCAGAGCAGCUGUGCCCGUCCCUGCGCCCCCAGGGGUGGCUGGGACAGUGGGAGGUGUCCCUGCCAUGGCGAGAGGAGCUUUAAGGUCCUUCCAACCCAAUCUCCGAGAUUGUAAUUUCAUCACCAGGAAGUCGGGGGAAGAGGAGAGAAAGCAAAGGCGUGUUUCCCACAUGGAGAACUCCACAGCAAUCUGCUGGAGGAGGGAUUUGGUUCUCUCCCGAAAGCCCAAACCAGCCUCGCUCGGAUUUGCCAAGCACCUGUGAAAGAAUGCAGCUGCAAGGCCCUGGGAAAACAAUGGGAAUGUGACAGUUCAUUAAUAUGAGGCAGCGCCGAGAUUGAUUGGGGAAAGGCAUGGAUGCAGGAUUCUGUGUGUGAACCCCAGUUUGGGAACUGGGACAGCUUACUGGGUCUGUCAGCAAAACAAAUGGACGAGCACUGAUUGCUCCAGCACUUCCUUCCUUUAUUUUUCAUUCCAUAUUCAUUUGGUAGGUUGGGAUUUUUCCUUGUUUUCUAUUUUUUUUUUUUUUUUAUAGUUUGCUCUGGCUAUUUUUUUCUGGUGAAGCAAGGGUUUGGAAAGUGCAGGCAGCAUUUCAAACUGUGAUCUGCACAGAUGGGAAUGAAGGAACAUUCUCCAGGCGAAAAUUGUUCUCGGAGACAUUUGGAUGGAGCAGGAUUUGUCUGUGCGCGGGGUGGAACAUCCUGAUUUCCAACAGGAGCAGCACAGGGCUGCUGGCCACCGAGCCAAAGGAUCCCUUCUCCCAUGGCACAGGCACAAUAACCCACGGGAAGGGCUGUCCCAUGGGAAAACCCUCAGGAUCAGGCUGCUGAGGGUGUCUGGGGAGCUUGGAUCAACUUCCAGAGCCAAACAGCUCUUCCCCAAAUAGAGCCUUCCAAGGUGGAAGCCAUUCCUGCAUCCAUCCCGUUGUCCACACAAACUGGAAUGGUUCAAGGCCAGCCUGGGGUGGUGGAAAGGUGUCCCUGUGAUGUUCCUCAAGGUCAAAGGCGGAAGCCAUUCCUGCGUCCAUCCCGUUGUCCACAGGAACUGGAAUGGUUCAAGGCCAGCUUGGGGUGGUGGAAAGGUGUCCCCGUGAUGUUCCUCAAGGUCCCUGCCAGGUCAAGCUCUUCCCCAAAUGAAGCCUUGCAAGGUGGAAGCCAUCCCUGCAUCCAUCCCAUUGCCCACACAAACUGGAAUUGUUCAGGGCCAGCGUGGGACAGUGGUGGAAAGGUGUCCCCAUGAUGUUCCUCAAGGUCAAAGGUGGAAGCCAUUCCUGCGUCCAUCCCGUUGCUCACACAAACUGGAAUGGUUCAAGGCCAGCUUGGGGUGGUGGAAAGGUGUCCCUGUGAUGUUCCUCAAGGUCAAAGGUGGAAGCCAUUCCUGCGUCCAUCCCGUUGCCCACACAAACUGGAAUGGUUCAAGGCCAGCUUGGGGUGGUGGAAAGGUGUCCCCGUGAUGUUCCUCAAGGUCCCUGCCAGGUCAAGCUCUUGGCACACGGGUGCAGGGAGGGUGGCACCACCACUGCCACCCUCAGCAAAGCUCAGGAGAAGCCUCCAGGGAUUUGGCAGAGCUGCUGCUCCUCGCUGAGCUGGGUUUGCCGCAUUCUGAAUUCCCACAUCUCCUCGUUCCCAUGGCUGGGAUGACGUUGGGCCGGCGUGAUUCAUGCUGUCAGGAGUUUAUUUUGGGAUGAGUACCCACCCGGAGGAUGGAGAUGAAGGGAAAAACUGCCAACUUCAAAGGAGGAGAAGUUUGGAUUUCCCAAAGGAGUGGUCAGGUCUGGAGCAGGUGGAAUUUCUGAAUUUCUGGAAUUUUUCACAGAUUUAUCCAUGUUUUACACCCAGAAGAGGCUGAAAAUUGCAACUCUGACCAAAUAAAUGCUGAAAGAGCUCUGUCUCUCCAAAAUAAACCAGGUGAUGAUUCUGAAAUCCGUGUCCUGACUUUCAGAAGUGCUUCGAGGUGGGAUGAUCCACUGGGAUGGAAAUUCUGCUGCAAAUCAGGAUAAAUGCAGAGUGACAUGGCUGGAGACAGCAGCCACUCACAGGGAGCAGUGGGCAGAAUUUUAUAAUCCUAUCCCAAAGGAUAAAUCCCAGCAAACAGAAAUAUUUCAUUGUUCAUUUCCCCAUCUCAAGAAAAAGUGGGAAUUCGAUUAAAAUAAUAAUAAAUUUGU